AUGGGCGAAGCCGACUGGUCGAGGCAGCGGUUUCCAAAACCGCCGAAGGGAGUUCGAUUCUCUCCGCCCAUG
rnacentral:tRNA from 1 species